rnacentral:tmRNA from 1 species
GGGGGCGUCCGGAUUCGACGUGCAGGUUGAAGUUCCGGUGGCGCGCCGAGGAUGCCGGUUGGCCUCGUUAAUCAUCCGGCGCCAAAAACAAACGCCAAUCAGGAGUUGGCUCUCGCGGCUUGAUGCCGCGACGUCCCGUCACUGACGCCUGCUAGGUGAUCGGGGCGACGGCAGCAGGCUGGUCGGUGUCCGGAGCACCCGCGGAUGCCGGCGAGAUCCAUGCGUGGGUGCUGGCUGCUCGGGAGCCUGUCCGUCGGCGAGCGGGCGGCGAGAAUGAAUAGACGGACUACGCGCGUAGAAGCCGGGAUGGACCCUGUGCGGACGGGGGUUCGACUCCCCCCGCCUCCACCA